AGGGCGCACGGUGGAUGCCUUGGUACUAGGAGCCGAAGAAGGACGGAACUAACACCGAUAUGCUUUGGGGAGCUGUAAGUAAGCUAAGAUCCAAAGAUUUCCGAAUGGGGGAACCCAACACCUUUCAUAGGGUGUUACCAAUGAGUGAAUACAUAGCUCAUUAGGAGGUACACGCAGGGAACUGAAACAUCUCAUUACCUGCAGGAAGAGAAAGAAAAAUCGAUUCCCUGAGUAGCGGCGAGCGAAACGGGAGGAGCCCAAACCAACGAGCUUGCUUGUUGGGGUUGUAGGACUAGAACGUGAGAAGAAAUCAAGAUAGCAGAAGUGGUCUGGAAAGGCCCAUCAAAGAAGGUGACAAUCCUGUACGCGACAUUUUGAUGAACUCUACUAGCAUCCUGAGUACGGCGGGACACGAGGAAUCCCGUCGGAAUCCGCCAGGACCAUCUGGCAAGGCUAAAUACUACCUAGUGACCGAUAGUGAACCAGUACCGUGAGGGAAAGGUGAAAAGAACCCCGGGAGGGGAGUGAAAGAGUACCUGAAACCGUGUGCUUACAAGUAGUCAGAGCCCGUUAAUGGGUGAUGGCGUGCCUUUUGUAGAAUGAACCGGCGAGUUACGUUUACAUGCGAGGUUAAGAUGAAGAGUCGGAGCCGUAGCGAAAGCGAGUCUGAAUAGGGCGCAUGUAGUAUGUGGACGUAGACCCGAAACCAAGUGAUCUACCCAUGUCCAGGUUGAAGGUGCGGUAAAACGCACUGGAGGACCGAACCAGGGCACGUUGAAAAGUGCUUGGAUGACUUGUGGGUAGCGGAGAAAUUCCAAACGAACUUGGAGAUAGCUGGUUCUCUCCGAAAUAGCUUUAGGGCUAGCGUCGACAUUAAGAUUCUUGGAGGUAGAGCACUGUUUGGGUGAGGGGUCCAUCCCGGAUUACCAAUCUCAGAUAAACUCCGAAUGCCAAUGAAUUAUGGUCGGCAGUCAGACUGCGAGUGCUAAGAUCCGUAGUCGAAAGGGAAACAGCCCAGACCACCAGCUAAGGUCCCAAAAUAUAUGUUAAGUGGAAAAGGAUGUGGGGUUGCACAGACAACUAGGAUGUUAGCUUAGAAGCAGCUAUUCAUUCAAAGAGUGCGUAAUAGCUCACUAGUCGAGUGACCCUGCGCCGAAAAUGUACCGGGGCUAAAACAAUUUACCGAAGCUGUGGAUACCUUUAUAGGUAUGGUAGGAGAGCGUUCUAUGUGUGAUGAAGGUGUACCGUGAGGAGUGCUGGAACGCAUAGAAGUGAGAAUGCCGGUAUGAGUAGCGAAAGACAGGUGAGAAUCCUGUCCACCGUAAGACUAAGGUUUCCAGGGGAAGGCUCGUCCGCCCUGGGUUAGUCGGGACCUAAGGAGAGACCGAAAGGUGUAUCCGAUGGACAACAGGUUGAUAUUCCUGUACUAGAGUAUGUAGUGAUGGAGGGACGCAGUAGGCUAACUAAAGCAGACGAUUGGAAGUGUCUGUCUAAGCAGUGAGGUGUGAACUGAGUCAAAUGCUUAGUUCUAUAACAUUGAGCUGUGAUGGGGAGCGAAGUUUAGUAGCGAAGUUAGUGACGUCACACUGCCAAGAAAAGCUUCUAGCGUUUAAACAUACUCUACCCGUACCGCAAACCGACACAGGUAGUCGAGGCGAGUAGCCUCAGGUGAGCGAGAGAACUCUCGUUAAGGAACUCGGCAAAAUGACCCCGUAACUUCGGGAGAAGGGGUGCUGGUAGCAAUACCAGCCGCAGUGAAUAGGCCCAGGCGACUGUUUAUCAAAAACACAGGUCUCUGCAAAAUCGAAAGAUGACGUAUAGGGGCUGACGCCUGCCCGGUGCUGGAAGGUUAAGAGGAGAGGUUAGCCGCAAGGCGAAGCUUUGAAUUGAAGCCCCAGUAAACGGCGGCCGUAACUAUAACGGUCCUAAGGUAGCGAAAUUCCUUGUCGGGUAAGUUCCGACCCGCACGAAAGGCGUAAUGAUUUGGGCACUGUCUCAACGAGAGACUCGGUGAAAUUUUAGUACCUGUGAAGAUGCAGGUUACCCGCGACAGGACGGAAAGACCCCAUGGAGCUUUACUGUAGUUUGAUAUUGAGUGUUUGUGUCACAUGUACAGGAUAGGUAGGAGCUGAAGAAUCCGGGACGCCAGUUUCGGAGGAGGCAACGGUGGGAUACUACCCUUGUGACAUGACCACUCUAACCCGCACCCCUCACCGGGGUGGGAGACAGUGUCAGACGGGCAGUUUGACUGGGGCGGUCGCCUCCUAAAGUGUAACGGAGGCGCCCAAAGGUUCCCUCAGAAUGGUUGGAAAUCAUUCGUAGAGUGUAAAGGCAGAAGGGAGCUUGACUGCGAGACCUACAAGUCGAGCAGGGACGAAAGUCGGGCUUAGUGAUCCGGUGGUACCGUAUGGAAGGGCCAUCGCUCAACGGAUAAAAGCUACCCUGGGGAUAACAGGCUUAUC
rnacentral:rRNA from 1 species